rnacentral:piRNA from 1 species
UCAAAUGAAGAACUGCUUUGAGUGCGCAA